rnacentral:rRNA from 1 species
UACGGAGGGGGCUAGCGUUGUUCGGAAUUACUGGGCGUAAAGCGUACGUAGGCGGCUUUGUAAGUUAGAGGUGAAAGCCCGGGGCUCAACUCCGGAAUUGCCUUUAAGACUGCAUCGCUUGAAUCAUGGAGAGGUUAGUGGAAUUCCGAGUGUAGAGGUGAAAUUCGUAGAUAUCAGGAAGAACACCCGUGGCUAAGGCGGCUCUCUAGUACGGUACUGACGCUGAGACGCGAAAGCGUGGGGAGCGAACAGG